rnacentral:rRNA from 1 species
CGAAUCAGGUAUAGGCCUUUCAGGGGUACACGAGUGGCGAACGGGUGAGUAACACGUGGGUGAUCUGCCCUGCACUUCGGGAUAAGCCCGGGAAACUGGGUCUAAUACCGGAUAUGACCACAGCAUGCAUGUGUUGUGGUGGAAAGCUUUUGCGGUGUGGGAUGGGCCCGCGGCCUAUCAGCUUGUUGGUGGGGUAAUGGCCUACCAAGGCGACGACGGGUAGCCGGCCUGAGAGGGCGACCGGCCACACUGGGACUGAGACACGGCCCAGACUCCUACGGGAGGCAGCAGUGGGGAAUAUUGCACAAUGGGCGCAAGCCUGAUGCAGCGACGCCGCGUGAGGGAUGACGGCCUUCGGGUUGUAAACCUCUUUCAGCAGGGACGAAGCGUGAGUGACGGUACCUGCAGAAGAAGCACCGGCCAACUACGUGCCAGCAGCCGCGGUAAUACGUAGGGUGCAAGCGUUGUCCGGAAUUACUGGGCGUAAAGAGCUCGUAGGCGGUUUGUCGCGUCGUCUGUGAAAACCAGCAGCUCAACUGUUGGCUUGCAGGCGAUACGGGGCAGACUUGAGUAUUUCAGGGGAGACUGGAAUUCCUGGUGUAGCGGGUGAAAUGCGCAAUAUCAGGAGGAACACCGGUGGCGAAGGCGGGGUCUCUGGGGAAAUAACUGACGCUCAAGAGCGAAAGCGU